rnacentral:misc_RNA from 1 species
UCUCCGUUGGUGAACCAGCGGAGGGAUCAUUAUAGAGUUUUCUAAACUCCCAACCCAUGUGAACUUACCAUUGUUGCCUCGGCAGUAGUUGCUGGGCGAGCCUACCCGGGAACGAGCUACCCUGUAGCGAGUUACCCUGGAACGACUUACCCUGUAACGCCUGCCGGUGGACUACUAAACUCUUGUUAUUUUUAAAGUAAUCUGAGCGUCUUAUUUUAAUAAGUCAAAACUUUCAACAACGGAUCUCUUGGUUCUGGCAUCGAUGAAGAACGCAGC